ACAUCCAGAGAAUUUAGCAGAGAUGCUUUAGUGCCUUCGGGAACUCUGAGACAGGUGCUGCAUGGCUGUCGUCAGCUCGUGUUGUGAAAUGUUGGGUUAAGUCCCGCAACGAGCGCAACCCUUAUCCUUUGUUGCCAGCACGUAAUGGUGGGAACUCAAAGGAGACUGCCGGUGAUAAACCGGAGGAAGGUGGGGAUGACGUCAAGUCAUCAUGGCCCUUACGAGUAGGGCUACACACGUGCUACAAUGGCGCAUACAAAGAGAAGCGACCUCGCGAGAGCAAGCGGACCUCAUAAAGUGCGUCGUAGUCCGGAUUGGAGUCUGCAACUCGACUCCAUGAAGUCGGAAUCGCUAGUAAUCGUAAAUCAGAAUGUUACGGCGAAUACGUUCCCGGGCCUUGUACACACCGCCCGUCACACCAUGGGAGUGGGUUGCAAAAGAAGUAGAUAGCUUAACCUUCGGGAGGGCGUUUACCACUUUGUGAUUCAUGACUGGGGUGAAGUCGUAACAAGGUAGGCGUAGUGCU
rnacentral:rRNA from 1 species